GAUGAAGAACGCAGCGAAAUGCGAUAAGUAAUGUGAAUUGCAGAAUUCAGUGAAUCAUCGAAUCUUUGAACGCACAUUGCGCCCGCCAGUAUUCUGGCGGGCAUGCCUGUUCGAGCGUCAUUUCAACCAUCAAGCCCCCGGCUUGUGUUGGGGACCUGCGGCUGCCGCAGGCCCUGAAAUGCAGUGGCGGGCUCGCUGUCACUCCGAGCGUAGUAGUUACAUCUCGCUCUGGGCGUGCUGCGGGUUCCGGCCGUUAAAAGCCUUAUUUAACCAAGGUUGACCUCGGAUCAGGUAGGAAGACCCGCUGAACUUAAGCAUAUCAAUAAGGGAGGA
rnacentral:misc_RNA from 1 species